GGGCACACCACCUAGACAACAAGGCACAGCGCCUUGGCCAGCUGCUGCACCCCAAGCACCUAUCCUGGGGGGCCUGUGCAGGAUCUGAUGAGGUCUGAAGAGCCCCCAAUUUGGGGGUCGGGUUAUGCACGGGGAGGGGACUCACUCUCCCAUGGGACCUCCUCAGAAGGUGGCUGCCUUCCACCAGGGAGCAGUGGGCAUAGCUAAUGUUUUCAAUUUUAUCUUUGAUCGCUGGAACUCAGGGGCAGGAGGAAGCUGAGAGUGUCCAGGGCUCCCCUCCCACUGUUUGUGGGUAAAGGGGUGUGGUGAGGAGGCAGAAAGGAAGGAUCUAGGUGAGAAAAGCACUCUGAUGAAAUUGACUAUUGUCAGCCCUUGUCAGCUGUGGUGUGCCAGGCAGAGGGUGUGUGUGCACGUCCC
rnacentral:lncRNA from 1 species